rnacentral:lncRNA from 1 species
GGGGAGAAAAUGCAUGUUUUUGACUUCCUAUUUCGAUGGACAAUCAUAUUCAUGUAUUAAGCGAGUGUGGUUAAUUUGAAUAUUUUUCGUCUAAAUCUCAAUUUAAUCCAAAGCAUAGGAAGGUUCGAUGGGUGUUUUCGAAUAUUAAGGAGAUUUCUUGACCUUUAUAUAAACACGAGGGGAUUUACUAUUCAUCACGAAAACAAGAUCUUAAAUAGGAUCCCAAUUUGAAAACUGAGGACUUGUACCACUGCUACCUGCAUUCAUCACCAUUAAUCCCAAUUCAUCCGCCUUGAGCUAGAUUUCCUUUUUCUUUCAUCAAUCCAUAAUCAUCUGUUCCAUCUUUCACAAAAGAAUCCCCUUUUUCUCGGCCACUAUCCUAUUACUCUCGGCCAAAAAAUUAAAAAUAAAACCGACGGGAAACAGAGGAGGAGACGCUGCCACCGCUGGGUCGUCGGAGUUUGCCCAUACCACCACGGUUAUCAGGCCUUCAUUUAAAACGCCCUGUGAGCUAUUCUUUCCUUUCCAACUUUAAUUUUAAUUUGAUAUUUCUGAAACCAUCUUUUGCUAGUUUCUUCUUGAAUUUUUUUUUUAAUCUAGAGUUAUUUGCAAUUUGCAUGGCUGAUUAUACACUUUGGCUUGUGUUGGACUGAAAUCGUAUUUUGAUUACAAUUUUUGGGUCUUUCUCUCGGGGAAAGUGUAAGAGAUCUUUAGAAUUUUCGUAUGCCCAUCUACUGUUUGAAGAAAUGCCUCAACGAGUACUUGAAGUAAAGGGACAAAUCUCUUGUAUCCGUGCGCGUGGGGAGCAGCUCCGAUCAGUCCAACGGGACUGAUCGGAGCCCGUGAGUUCGCCAGAAAGCCAUCAAAGACCCAGAGAUUUUUUGUUUGGAUUUUCUUUUACAUUUUCCUUUUGUUCUAUUUUUGGUUGUUCAAUGGAAUUUGGUGUGCGUAUUGUGUGUUCGUGCGUGGGAGAGAGAGGGCGAAGCUCCGGCGAGUCCAAUGCUCGCCGGAGAUGAUGAUUUCUAGGUUACGCAGCAGCAGGGACAAAAUGUCUCAAUGGAGAAGAUGACACGCUUGUGAUUUCACCCCAAAUUUUACAAUCUUUCGGAUUUACUACCGAACUUGUUUUAGGUAGUUUUAAUUAGGUCCUAAGACUAGGGGUUAGUCAACUUUUGUUUCAUUAGUCUCUCUAUUUGUCAAUUCACAUUUGUAAUUAGUUUAUUUUCUCUUUUUAGAAGUGAUGUAACCUAUAUGGGACAUAGGAGCAAUUGAAUCUUGUAAUUUUCUUUUUCUUUUUUCUUUUCUAU